GAGUUUGAUCCUGGCUCAGGAUGAACGCUGGCGGCGUGCCUAAUACAUGCAAGUCGAACGAACUUCCGUUAAUUGAUUAUGACGUACUUGUACUGAUUGAGAUUUUAACACGAAGUGAGUGGCGAACGGGUGAGUAACACGUGGGUAACCUGCCCAGAAGUAGGGGAUAACACCUGGAAACAGAUGCUAAUACCGUAUAACAGAGAAAACCGCAUGGUUUUCUUUUAAAAGAUGGCUCUGCUAUCACUUCUGGAUGGACCCGCGGCGUAUUAGCUAGUUGGUGAGGUAAAGGCUCACCAAGGCAGUGAUACGUAGCCGACCUGAGAGGGUAAUCGGCCACAUUGGGACUGAGACACGGCCCAGACUCCUACGGGAGGCAGCAGUAGGGAAUCUUCCACAAUGGACGCAAGUCUGAUGGAGCAACGCCGCGUGAGUGAAGAAGGUUUCGGCUCGUAAAGCUCUGUUGUUAAAGAAGAACGUGGGUAAGAGUAACUGUUUACCCAGUGACGGUAUUUAACCAGAAGCCACGGCUAACUACGUGCCAGCAGCGCGGUAAUACGUAGUGGCAGCGUUAUCCGGAUUUAUUGGGCGUAAGCGAGCGCAGCGUCUUUUAGUCUAUGUGAAAGCUUCGCUCACGAGAUGCAUUGGAAACUGGAGACUUGAUGCAAAGGACGUGAU
rnacentral:rRNA from 1 species